rnacentral:rRNA from 1 species
GAUGAACGCUGGCGGCGUGCCUAAUACAUGCAAGUCGAGCGAACGGACGAGAAGCUUGCUUCUCUGAUGUUAGCGGCGGACAGGUGAGUAACACGUGGAUAACCUACCUAUAUUACUUGGAUAACUUCGGGAAACCGGAGCUAAUACCGGAUCAUAUUUUGAACCGCAUGGUUCAAAAGUGAAAGACGGUCUUGCUGUCACUUAUAGAUGAAUCCGCGCUGCAUUAGCUAGUUGGUAAGGUAACGGCUUACCAAGGCAACGAUGCAUAGCCGACCUGAGAGGAUGAUCGGCCACACUGGAACUGAGACACGGUCCAGACUCCUACGGGAGGCAGCAGUAGGGAAUAUUCGGCAAUGGGCGAAAGCCUGACGGAGCAAUGCCGCGUGAGUGAUGAAGGUCUUCGGAUCGUAAAACUCUGUUAUUAGGGAAGAAAAGAUGUGGAAGUAACUGUGGACAUCUUGACGGUACCUAAUCAGAAAGCAACGGCUAACUACGUG